rnacentral:rRNA from 1 species
GACGUACGCUGGCGGCGUGCUUAACACAUGCAAGUCGAACGAAGAGCGAUGGAAUCUUGCUUCUAUCAAUCUUAGUGGCGAACGGGUGAGUAACGCGUAAUCAACCUGCCCUUCAGAGGGGGACAACAGUUGGAAACGACUGCUAAUACCGCAUACGAUCUAAUCUCGGCAUCGAGGAUAGAUGAAAGGUGGCCUCUACAUGUAAGCUAUCACUGAAGGAGGGGAUUGCGUCUGCUUAGCUAGUUGGAGGGGUAACGGCCCACCAAGGCGAUGAUCAGUAGCCGGUCUGAGAGGAUGAACGGCCACAUUGGGACUGAGACACGGCCCAGACUCCUACGGGAGGCAGCAGUGGGGAAUCUUCCGCAAUGGACGAAAGUCUGACGGAGCAACGCCGCGUGAGGGAUGACGGCCGUCGGGUUGUAAAGCUCUGUUAAUCGGGACGAAAGGCCUUCUUGCGAAUAGUGAGAAGGAUUGACGGUACCGGAAGAGAAAGCCACGGCUAACUACGUG